GCCACAGUGGUGUAGUGGUAGCGCAUGUUCUCGGUAUGAAUGUAGCGUGGGUUCGACUCCCAGCUAUGGUC